CCUACGGGUGGCAGCAGUGAGGAAUAUUGGUCAAUGGACGCAAGUCUGAACCAGCCAUGCCGCGUGCAGGAAGACGGCUCUAUGAGUUGUAAACUGCUUUUGUACGAGGGAAAACGCAGAUACGCGUAUCCGUCUGAAAGAAUCGUACGAACAAGGAACGGCUAACUCCGUGCCAGCAGCAGCGGUAAUACGGAGGAUUCACGCGUUAUCCGGAUUUAUUGGGUUUAAAGGGAGCGUAGGCGGUCGGGUAAGUUAGAUGUGAAAUCCCGGGGCUCAACUUCGGGAUUGCCUUUGAUACUGUUCGGCUAGAGAGUAGUUGCGGUAAGCGGAAUGUAUGGUGUAGCGGUGAAAUGCGUAGAGAU
rnacentral:rRNA from 1 species